rnacentral:rRNA from 1 species
UUAAUACCGGACAUUCACCCCUUGUGGCAUCUUGGGGGGUGGAAAGUUUUUUCGGCCGGGGAGGGGCUCGCGGCCUAUCAGCUUGUUGGCGGGGUAACGGCCCACCAAGGCGACGACGGGUAGCCGGCCUGAGAGGGCGACCGGCCACACUGGGACUGAGACACGGCCCAGACUCCUACGGGAGGCAGCAGUGGGGAAUAUUGCGCAAUGGGCGGAAGCCUGACGCAGCGACGCCGCGUGGGGGAUGAAGGCCUUCGGGUUGUAAACCCCUUUCACCAGGAGCGAAUCCAGACGGUACCUGGGGAAGAAGCGCCGGCUAACUACG